UGGGGAAUCUUGCGCAAUGGCCUGACGGCUGACGCAGCGACGCCGCGUGUGGGAGGACGCCCCUCGGGGUGUAAACCACUGUUGCCCGGGACGAACGGCCUCUUUCGAGAGGCGUGACGGUACCGGGUGAGGAAGCACCGGCUAACUCCGUGCCAGCAGCCGCGGUAAUACGGAGGGUGCGAGCGUUGUCCGGAAUCACUGGGCGUAAAGGGCGCGUAGGCGGUCCGGUAAGCGCGUGGUGAAAGCCCGGGGCUCAACCCCGGGUCGGCCGUGCGGACUGCGGGACUCGAGCACUGUAGAGGCGGGCGGAAUUCCGGGUGUAGCGGUGGAAUGCGUAGAGAUCCGGAAGAACACCGGUGGCGAAGGCGGCCCGCUGGGCAGGAAAUAGCUGACGCUGAGGCGCGACAGCGUGGGGAGCAAACAG
rnacentral:rRNA from 1 species